AAUUAUUCUGUUGCGCAGUUUACACUCUAAAACUUACUAGCUUGGGCCAUCCAUAGGUAAAACAGUUGCUACAGAAGCCUGAUAUCUAUAACCUGUAUAGUUUUGGAGCCCUGAUCAACACCUCAGAGAAGGUAGCCUACGAUUUACAUUGGGAUUUUUAUUUGGCAACACAAGGCUUCUGGGAUGAGUUUAAUCUCCUGUUUAGGGUAACUCCAAUUAAACUCAUAUUUAUCUAUACAUUAUUAGAAAGCUUAUAAAAUACUAGGUUUCACAUGGCCUUUUCAAGCACCCUUAGAUUUUACCCUGCCAUUACCCUCUCUUUCUGCCCUCCCUUCCCAUCCUUGUCUCUACUUAAACCCACUUCCCAACAUUCCCCACUUUCUUUACAAGCUGCGGGUCUAUUCAGUCCUGUUUGAAAUCUAAGUUCCGUGGUAGCCGGGGCAUUGUUUCGUCCACCAGGACAGCAUAAAGCACAUGGUGAAGAUGUCAUUCUAGCUCUCCAUGAAUACAUGAAUAAAAUAUCUAAGCUCUAGGGGUUCUGGGGGCAAGCCUGCUGAAAAAUACCUUGUUCUAGGGACAGCAUGCCUAAGCAGUCUGGGUGACAGUUGGCUGUUUGUUACGUCUUCAUUUUUUAAAAACCAGAUCGCUGCAGUCAGUUGGGAGUUGUUGGGCAGCCCUGUAAGGGUAAUGUGAGAGAUAAGGCAUCUGAUGUGUUCUCUAAGAGGACAGUUGGAAGCUGUGGUCGAUUCCUGAGCCACGGCAGAAAUUACAGGUGAACCAGUCAUAAGAUAUUGAAUAGGGUUGGUUCUCCUCUCGGGAGUGAGCCUCUCAGCCCUGGGGUUGGCAGGAAUGAGCAGUGUAAGUGUUGUGUUUUAUAAAAAACUAAAAGGAUUAUGAAAAGGAUUAUGUUUGGUGGAUGUUCAGUCAGGUGUGGGGAAGGGAGUUGAAGCCUACACAGGCCCAUGCUGACGCAUUUCCUUCCCUCUGAGGGACCAAAUAGACAUCGGUGAUGGUAUAGUAUAGAAUAGGGUUUAUUCAGAGCAUGGAAAGGGGAAUUGAGAGGGUAGUAGACACAGAGAAAGGCAGAGGAAGAGAAAGAAAGAGUAGAGGAGUAGAGGCCGGCCAUGAGCACAUGGCGGGGGAGGGGGAGGGGGAGAAAGGUGAAGGGACAAGAGGACAGAGGGAAAGCAAGAAGGCAAGAGAGCAAAAGGGCAAGCAACCCCUUUUAUAGUGAGUCAGGCGCAUCUGGCUGUUGCCAGGUAACUGUGGGGCGGAGCUUAGACAGAAUGCUAACACUGAGGACAGUGCUGUCCAGUUCAGUGACUAAACAGGCCUUCUUUAUGACUUAAGAAAGCAGGAAACAAUUGACAUAUAAAACCCCAAGAGAAUCCACUCAAUGGUAUCCCUAAAGUUUUCUGAGAGAAGCUUACUCCCAUUCCGUGAAUAUAAAAUGCCGGUCUGCUUUUUCUUAGGUUUUCUUACGUGGACCAUGGCAGCCUCCAGCAGUCUUUCCUGUGACCCUGGUAUUUAGAGUCCUUUGUGCAGUAAACUCCCCCUUUGGGCAGACUUUUGCCUUAUAUUAAUACAAGGAGAAGAGACCAUACAGAAACCUUCCUUGUUGGAGGACACACCCGGAAAUACCUUGUCAGCAGGCGCUGCCUGCAGCCAGAGCAGGGCCACCUACAAGUUAUCUUGACCCAGGAUGCCUGCAACCCCUUCCCCUCACCUAGGCAGGUCUCAGGAGUGCUACUGCACAGGGCUGAGGUCUGCCAGAGGUAUCAGGGAUUAACCCGAAGCAGAGAAUUUGAUCGUGAGAUUCAGGCAUUUCAGGAGAAAAAUAUGGGAAAUUUGUAAUUCCAUUCAGGAAAACUCAAAGGAUGGCACCUCGUCCCGGGCUGGUCACACAACUUCCCUUACUUUGUUUUGAAUUAAAGAUGUUUGGGAUUUUGACUA